rnacentral:lncRNA from 1 species
GAAAAUCGCGAUAACAAGUAAUAUGUUAAAAUUACUAGUUGAUUGUAUCAAAAAACAAUUAUAAAAUGAUGAACUUUACUUUUUUAAACAAGCAAUGUUAAUAUUAUGUUGAGAAUGAGGUUUGAAGCCUCAAUCUCAUUAUCACUUCACUCAUUAUCACUCAUCUCUUUAACUAUCCUACCACAACCACCAAAUCACUCUUACAUCUCUUACAAUUUGCAUUCUAUACUUCUA